GACACUUCCGGUAUUACAUUGGCGGGAUAACACAAACGAGGUCCUUCUCGGAUAACGCGACGUGUUUGAUUCAAAGCCAAGCGGAUCUACGAUUUUCACACCCAAGAUGCAGCUCCACAUCACGCAGCACAGAGUGGGCAGCUUUUGAAUUCACGGCGGUCUGUUGGUCGCUCCAUUUUAAAUGAUGAAGAAUGAGGGGGUGCCAACAUGCCUAUGAGUACGAGACCGACGCGAAUACAAAGACACAUGGAAAGUUUA